UGCAAGUCGAGCGGAAAGGCCCCUUCGGGGGUACUCGAGCGGCGAACGGGUGAGUAACACGUGAGCAACCUGCCCCUGACUCUGGGAUAAGCCCGGGAAACUGGGUCUAAUACCGGAUAUGACGCACUCUCGCAUGGGAUGUGUGUGGAAAGUUUUUCGGUUGGGGAUGGGCUCGCGGCCUAUCAGCUUGUUGGUGGGGUGAUGGCCUACCAAGGCGACGACGGGUAACCGGCCUGAGAGGGCGACCGGUCACACUGGGACUGAGACACGGCCCAGACUCCUACGGGAGGCAGCAGUGGGGAAUAUUGCGCAAUGGGCGGAAGCCUGACGCAGCGACGCCGCGUGAGGGAUGACGGCCUUCGGGUUGUAAACCUCUUUCAGCAGGGACGAAGCUAACGUGACGGUACCUGCAGAAGAAGCGCCGGCUAACUACGUGCCAGCAGCCGCGGUAAUACGUAGGGCGCAAGCGUUGUCCGGAAUUAUUGGGCGUAAAGAGCUCGUAGGCGGUUUGUUGCGUCCGUCGUGAAAGCCCACAGCUUAACUGUGGGUCUGCGGUGGAUACGGGCAGACUAGAGGCAGGUAGGGGAGAACGGAAUUCCCGGUGUAGCGGUGAAAUGCGCAGAUAUCGGGAGGAACACCGGUGGCGAAGGCGGUUCUCUGGGCCUGUACUGACGCUGAGGAGCGAAAGCGUGGGGAGCGAACAGGAUUAGAUACCCUGGUAGUCCACGCCGU
rnacentral:rRNA from 1 species